rnacentral:rRNA from 1 species
AUUGAACGCUGGCGGCAGGCCUAACACAUGCAAGUCGAGCGGAUGAGUGGAGCUUGCUCCAUGAUUCAGCGGCGGACGGGUGAGUAAUGCCUAGGAAUCUGCCUGGUAGUGGGGGACAACGUUUCGACAGGAACGCUAAUACCGCAUACGUACUACGGGAGAAAGUGGGGGAUCUUCGGACCCCACGCUAUCAGAUGAGCCUAGGUCGGAUUAGCUAGUUGGUGAGGUAAAGGCUCACCAAGGCGACGAUCCGUAACUGGUCUGAGAGGAUGAUCAGUCACACUGGAGCUGAGACACGGUCCAGACUCCUACGGGAGGAAGCAGUGGGGAAUAUUGGACAAUGGGCGAAAGCCUGAUCCAGCCAUGCCGCGUGUGUGAAGAAGGUCUUCGGAUUGUAAAGCACUUUAAGUUGGGAGGAAGGGCAGUAAGUUAAUACCUUGCUGUUUUGACGUUACCAACAGAAUAAGCACCGGCUAACUUCGUGCCAGCAGCCGCCGUAACAC